UAGGGAAUCUUCGGCAAUGGGGGCAACCCUGACCGAGCAACGCCGCGUGAGUGAAGAAGGUUUUCGGAUCGUAAAGCUCUGUUGUAAGUCAAGAACGGGUGUGAGAGUGGAAAGUUCACACUGUGACGGUAGCUUACCAGAAAGGGACGGCUAACUACGUGCCAGCAGCCGCGGUAAUACGUAGGUCCCGAGCGUUGUCCGGAUUUAUUGGGCGUAAAGCGAGCGCAGGCGGUUUUG
rnacentral:rRNA from 1 species